AUUGAACGCUGGCGGCAUGCUUUACACAUGCAAGUCGAACGGCAGCGCGGGCUUCGGCCUGGCGGCGAGUGGCGAACGGGUGAGUAAUGCAUCGGAACGUGCCCAGUAGUGGGGGAUAGCCCGGCGAAAGCCGGAUUAAUACCGCAUACGACCUGAGGGUGAAAGCGGGGGACCGAAAGGCCUCGCGCUAUUGGAGCGGCCGAUGUCGGAUUAGCUAGUUGGUGGGGUAAAGGCUUACCAAGGCGACGAUCCGUAGCUGGUCUGAGAGGACGACCAGCCACACUGGGACUGAGACACGGCCCAGACUCCUACGGGAGGCAGCAGUGGGGAAUUUUGGACAAUGGGGGCGACCCUGAUCCAGCCAUGCCGCGUGCGGGAAGAAGGCCUUCGGGUUGUAAACCGCUUUUGUUCGGGAAGAAAUCCUCUGGGCUAAUACCCCGGGGGGAUGACGGUACCGGAAGAAUAAGCACCGGCUAACUACGUG
rnacentral:rRNA from 1 species